CAUUGAAGGAUUCAAACAUAGAAGUAUCACAUUAGGAUACCUCAACCUCACAUGUCUGUACCUCUUUUGCUUGCUUUCAAAUUCAUCGCUGGAACCACAAUAACUCCGCCGCGCCGGAGCUCAUUACAGGCGGAGACGGAGCAUGAAACCACAUCAAACCUACACCGCUCCACUCGUUUCGUCAUUCUCUAUUCGAAUUCAAUAUCAAUUUUGCAUGAUUCUUGCUAUAACUCCCAAAUCAAACCUUUCUAACCAUGAACCCUAAGUUAUAACAUCAUAAAUUAAAUCCUCUUGUGGAGGAAUCAAAGUCUCUAGGGUUAGGGUUAUGAUUCCUCAAGUACUAAUAUACAUAGUGGUAACCGAUUUGAAGCAGCACGAAACAAAAUUUAGACUUACCUAUCGGAUAAGAUGAAGGUUGACAACAACGAAGAAGGCGCACAUUUGUGCAGGUGCAGGUGUAACCGGUUACCACGCCGAAAAUUGGGGCUCUAGGCUGCAAUAUGGGGCUACACGAAGCAGGUGUAACUGAUUACCGGAACCGGUUACCCACACGAAGGUUGGUAGUUCCUGGGUGCAAACAAGGCUAUGUGAAACAUGCGUAACCGGUUACCUACAUGAUAAUAAGGGUUCUGGGUUGCAUGAUGAGGUUAUAUGCAGUAGACGUAACCGAUUACCGUAACCGAUUAUCCAUACAAAAAAUGGUGGUUCUAGGCUUAACUUUGUGCUAACUUGAAGGUGCAUCAUGGAGAACGGAAUGGUAGCUUCCAAGUUCAAAUUUCCUUCCUUUUUCUACUUGAUUCAAGCUAUGUAUGGUGAUGCUAUGUAUUUAUUAAGUAACAUGAGAAUGUAAAUGCAAAUGCAAACUAUACUUAUGUAAUGAACAUUAAUCAAUCCAAUUUUAUGAUUUUAGAUUAAAUCAAAUUUCACUCUUUUUGUAUGAAACGUAUGAAAAACUCUUAUGAAGUGCAAGUUUCUAUAA